rnacentral:rRNA from 1 species
UACGUAGGGUGCGAGCGUUGUCCGGAUUUAUUGGGCGUAAAGAGCUCGUAGGCGGCCUGUUGCGUCCGCUGUGAAAUCCCGGGGCUCAACCCCGGGCCUGCAGUGGAUACGGGCUGGCUGGAGGCAGGCAGGGGAGAACGGAAUUCCUGGUGUAGCGGUGAAAUGCGCAGAUAUCAGGAGGAACACCGGUGGCGAAGGCGGUUCUCUGGGCCUGUUCUGACGCUGAGGAGCGAAAGCGUGGGGAGCGAACAGG